UACAGAGGUCUCAAGCGUUGUUCGGAUUCAUUGGGCGUAAAGGGUGCGUAGGUGGCGCCGUAAGUCAGGUGUGAAAUCUCGGGGCUUAACUCCGAAACUGCAUUUGAUACUGCGGUGCUUGAGUGCCGGAGAGGAAGACGGAACUGCAGGUGUAGCGGUGAAAUGCGUUGAUAUCUGCAGGAACACCAAUGGCGAAAGCAGUCUUCUGGACGGAUACUGACGCUCAGGUUCGAAAGCCAAGGUAGCAAACAGG
rnacentral:rRNA from 1 species